AUAUUGGACAAUGGGCGCAAGCCUGAUCCAGCAAUGCCGCGUGGGUGAAGAAGGCCUUCGGGUUGUAAAGCCCUUUUGUACGGGAAGAAAUCUCGUGGGUUAAUACCUUGCGAGGAUGACGGUACCGUAAGAAUAAGCACCGGCUAACUUCGUGCCAGCAGCCGCGGUAAUACGAAGGGUGCAAGCGUUAAUCGGAAUCACUGGGCUUAAAGGGUGCGCAGGCGGGCCUGCAGGCGUCUUGUGAAAUCCCCCGGCUCAACCGGGGAAUUGCAGGGCGAACCGCAGGUCUUGAGGAAGGCAGAGGCGGGUGGAACCAUAGGUGGAGCGGUGGAAUGCGUAGAGAUCUAUGGGAACGCCGAAGGUGAAGACAGCCCGCUGGGCCUUUCCUGACGCUCAGGCACGAAAGCGUGGGGAGCAAACAGG
rnacentral:rRNA from 1 species